CUGCACACCAGGAUACCCCAUCUCUGUGAAUGUUUAACACCACAAAGCCAUUGACUUAUUCUGGUCUGGAGAACAGUGCCAACGCCCCAGGGAUAGGGACUUUGAAGAUGUGAGCUAUCACAGAGAACUGCAUCAUGCCGCAGUUUAAAGGAAGAUGGUGUCUCCUUCAGUCCACAGCUGGGCUUCAAGACCACACCUUGCCUGACUGCCCAGGUGGUCAGCUCUUCUUGAAGGAUGGAUGCUCUCUUUUGCAGAAAGAUGACCUAGAAAGACAUCUUGUAUGAGAAAGGCACCUGUGCCUUCCAACUGAAUCUGCGCACUCUAAGGCCUUCGACUCCUCCGCGCAGCUGCCAACUCCGAGGCCCUCAUGCAGCUGGCAGCAUGCUUUCUCUGGGUCAACAUCCAGUUGCAGGAGGUUGAAGUGGCUUUUGUCACAGUGAGAUGAUAUGAACGAUAACAGAAGC